AUUGAACGCUGGCGGCAGGCCUAACACAUGCAAGUCGAACGAGUGGCGGACGGGUGAGUAAUGUCUGGGAAACUGCCUGAUGGAGGGGGAUAACUACUGGAAACGGUAGCUAAUACCGCAUACCAUCGGAUGUGCCCAGAUGGGAUUAGCUUGUUGGUGGGGUAACGGCUCACCAAGGCGACGCUCCCUAGCUGGUCUGAGAGGAUGACAAGCCACAAUGGAAAUGAGACAUGGCCCAGACUCCUAAGGGAGGGAGCAGUGGGGAAUAGUGCAGAAUGGGCGCAAGCGUGAUGCAGCCAUGCCGCGUGUAGGAAGAAGGCCUUCGGGUUGUAAAGUACUUGCAGCGAGGAGGCGUUACCCGCAGAAGAAGCACCGGCUAACUCCGUGCCAGCAGCCGCGGUAAUAC
rnacentral:rRNA from 1 species